UGCCAGCAGCCGCGGUAAUACGGAGGGGGCUAGCGUUGUUCGGAAUCACUGGGCGUAAAGCGCGCGUAGGCGGAUCAGUCAGUCAGGGGUGAAAUCCCGAGGCUCAACCUCGGAACUGCCUUUGAUACUGCUGGUCUUGAGUUCGAGAGAGGUGAGUGGAAUUCCUAGUGUAGAGGUGAAAUUCGUAGAUAUUAGGAAGAACACCAGUGGCGAAGGCGGCUCACUGGCUCGAUACUGACGCUGAGGUGCGAAAGUGUGGGGAGCAAACAGGAUUAGAUA
rnacentral:rRNA from 1 species